CAGCAGCAGCCACGGGAAUACGGAGGGUGCAAGCGUUAAUCGGAAUUACUGGGCGUAAAGCGCACGCAGGCGGUCUGACAAGUCAGAUGUGAAAUCCCCGGGCUUAACCUGGGAACUGCAUUUGAAACUGUCAGGCUGGAGUCUUGUAGAGGGGGGUGGAAUUCCAGGUGUAGCGGUGAAAUGCGUAGAGAUCUGGAGGAAUACCGGUGGCGAAGGCGGCCCCCUGGACAAAGACUGACGCUCAGGUGCGAAAGCGUGGGGAGCAAACAGGAUUAGAGACCCGCGUAGUCCCUGUCUCUUAUAC
rnacentral:rRNA from 1 species